UACGGAGGGUGCAAGCGUUAUCCGGAUUUACUGGGUUUAAAGGGUGUGUAGGCGGGCUUUUAAGUCAGUGGUGAAAUCUCCGGGCUCAACCCGGAAACUGCCAUUGAUACUAUUAGUCUUGAAUUUUGUUGAGGUAGGCGGAAUAAGUCAUGUAGCGGUGAAAUGCAUAGAUAUGACUUAGAACACCAAUUGCGAAGGCAGCUUGCUGGGACGUUACUGACGCUGAGACGCGAAAGCGUGGGGAGCAAACAGG
rnacentral:rRNA from 1 species